rnacentral:rRNA from 1 species
CAGCGCCACAAGUGGGGAUCCUGUUUAUUUGGCCUAAAGCGUCCGUAGCUGGUUUAGUAAAUCUUUUGUGAAAUCGUUAAGCUUAACUUAACGGCGUGCAGGAGAGACUGCUAAGCUAGGGACCGGGAGGAGUCAGAGGUAUGCUUGGGGGAGCGGUAAAAUGCUAUAAUCCCUAGUGGACCACCUAUGGCGAAGGCAUCUGACUAGAACGGGUCCGACAGUGAGGGACGAAAGCCAGGGGAGCAAACCGGAUUAGAUACCCGAGUAGUCC